CGCGAGCUCAAGUUGGUGGCAUUGUGUUAAAUGCUGAGAAGUAUAUGUAGAAUGGAAAAAAUUGUAUUAGCUUACAAACCCUUCAAAAUACAAGUGCUAUAGAGAAGUCCAAGAAAAAGAGCUUUGAUGUGGAAGAAAAUAGAAGCAAUUAGCAUAUGAAAUUAUCAGCAAGAACAAAUUUUAAUUUCAUCAAGACUUCUUUUGUUGUUUAAUGGAUAUUUCCCUAUCAUUUAUUCCUAAGAGAUUUUCAAUGUCAAGUUUGUCAUUUACCUUUACAAUUUAAUUUUAGUAUUUUUACUCUUCGAAGCCUUUUAUUUGUAUAUCCUAUUUUGCCCUCAUAAAAAAUUUAUAUAAAUGGUGGUUUUAUUAUUUUGCAAGAGAAUAAAGAGGUUAGGGUUGAAAUCGUAUAAAAAAAUAAGACAGGGUGCAAAUCACAAAAAAGGAUACACAUUAGAGGUGCAAAAUGCGACGGACUCAAAGAAUCUGAGUAUAUAAGUCUUCCGAGGCAUUCCCCUAAAAUAGUAUAAAUAAAGGCGUCUAUAAAUAAAUAAAUAAAUAAAGUCUAGAGAAAGAUUUGUUGUUACCGCUGAGAUGAAUCAACAGAGCCUGCACUCUAAGUCACGAAAAUAUGUCUCUAAUCACGGAUUUUCACCUACAAACGCAACACCUACCGCACGACGUGGUAGGCCCAAACGGGCUAAGUACCACCAAAGGAUAGCUAGAAGUCUCAUUGACUGCCCCCAAAGGUGGAGGGCAAGACUAGCGUGGGCCACAUAAAUAUAAAAAAAAUACAGCAAGUAGAGCAGACAAUUCAUAUAAAAAUAAUUGAAUAAUCUAAAAAGCUAAAACUUGUUUUGAUAACUGAAUUCAGAUUAGUAAAUGAAAGUCGAAGCUAUAAACUAAUUUUGUAUCUAAUAAAUGAAACUAAAACUUAAAACUGAGUCUAAAACUGAUAUCUGAAACUGAAGUUGAAAACUGUGUUACUUUUAAAAAAAUAGUUUUUCUGAAAAUAUUGCACAUAAUGGCGCUAUGUAUAUGAGGAUCUGGGCACCGUAUGGGGACUGUUAAAGCUACUUUGGAGCCUCCGGUCAUGCUUACUGAAACUCAAUCUGUAUGUGGGGCCAUCGAGUGACUCAAUCAAGCUUAACACGUCUGAACGUGCUAGCAUCUACAAGCAUGUGGUAGCUAGCCCUGGCCACCGUGACACUCAUGCUCGUGGAGGGUAUCUACUUUUCUCUUUUUGAAUCUGAAUCUGAAUUUGAAUAUUUUAGGCCCUCGUGGAUAAAGUCUCCACUAUACUAACUCAUACACACUAAGCCCUCGUGGAUAAAGUGAGACUAUAUUAUUUUUUUUCUUCUGAAUCUGAACUGAAAGUUUGAGCAGUACAAGCAAUUUCACGUAAACAAUCAAUCAGAGAACAUCAAGAACCUAUUCAUUUUCUGUUCUAAAUAUGAACUGUAGGUCUGAGCAAUAUAAGUAGCUUCACAUAAUAACAAUUCCACAUAAUCAAAUAAUUACAACAAGGCAUACUAUUUAAGAUUUCUCGUAUUAGAGGUUUUCAUUGUAUAUAUAUAGUAAGGCAAGCAAGCAAGCAAUAUACUAUUCACAUUUUAAUAUAGCCCUUUACUUAGGGAAGAAAGUUCAAAUCACCUCUAAUGGGGUGCUCAAGUUUUUCCUUCCAAGAACUCACGAAUUCGGCUCCUCAAAAUCUACAGUUAAGCAGUUACAAUCAUUAUUUUGUCCUACUAACUCAACACCCAUAAUUCACUCGAGGCUUUAUUGGCCAGCAAUAACUUUUCAUAACUUUCUACCCAUAACUCUUAUAAAUUUCAUAAUCUGUAGUCAUAGUCUGUCAUAAAAUUACUAACUUUAAUACUAAUAGGUAACGAAACGUAUCUUGAAUGAUGCCUCCACAAACCCUGGGUCUUGACGAACGCUUGAUUUUUUGGGUGAAAACCUAGAUUUUAGGAAUUAGAAGGUGUUAAACGAUGUUAAUCUAAAUUUUUUAACUUGAAUCCAUGGUAGAAAUCUUACCUUGGGUGGAUUGGUGAAUCCCUAAUCAAGUCGUUCUUGCUCUCAAAAUCUCUCCAAAAUACAGUAGAAAUAAGUGAACUUCUCUCAUUUUGAAGUGCCUCAACCUGACACGUUAUGCCACACGUCGCAUGGCA
rnacentral:lncRNA from 1 species